rnacentral:rRNA from 1 species
UCCAGACUCCUACGGGAGGCAGCAGUCGGGAAUAUUGCGCAAUGGAGGAAACUCUGACGCAGUGACGCCGCGUGCAGGAAGAAGGUUUUCGGAUUGUAAACCUCUUUAGACAGGGAAGAAAGAAAUGACGGUACCUGUAGAAUAAGCUCCGGCUAACUACGUGCCAGCAGCCGCGGUAAUACGUAGGGAGCAAGCGUUAUCCGGAUUUAUUGGGUUUAAAGGGUGCGCAGGCGGAGGUGCAAGUCAGCGGUCAAAUUGCGGGGCUCAACCCCGUACUGCCGUUGAAACUGCAUCCCUUGAGUGCGCGAGAAGUAUGCGGAAUGCGUGGUGUAGCGGUGAAAUGCAUAGAUAUCACGCAGAACUCCGAUUGCGAAGGCAGCAUACCGGCGCGCAACUGACGCUCAUGCACGAAAGCGUGGGUAUCGAACAGGAUUAGAUACCCCAGUA